rnacentral:rRNA from 1 species
AGAGUUUGAUCAUGGCUCAGGAUGAACGCUGGCGGCGUGCUUAACACAUGCAAGUCGAACGAACCUUCGGGUUAGUGGCGGACGGGUGAGUAACGCGUGAGAAUCUGCCCUCAGGAGGGGGAUAACGGUUGGAAACGACCGCUAAUACCCCAUAUGCCGCGAGGUGAAAUGAAUUUCGCCUGAGGAUGAGCUCGCGUCUGAUUAGCUAGUUGGUGGGGUAAAGGCCUACCAAGGCAUCGAUCAGUAGCUGGUCUGAGAGGAUGAUCAGCCACACUGGGACUGAGACACGGCCCAGACUCCUACGGGAGGCAGCAGUGGGGAAUUUUCCGCAAUGGGCGAAAGCCUGACGGAGCAACGCCGCGUGAGGGAUGAAGGCCUCUGGGCUGUAAACCUCUUUUAUCAAGGAAGAAGAUCUGACGGUACUUUGAUGAAUAAGCCACGGCUAAUUCCGUGCCAGCAGCCGCGGUAAUACGGGAGUGGCAAGCGUUAUCCGGAAUUAUUGGGCGUAAAGCGUCCGCAGGCGGCCCUUCAAGUCUGCUGUUAAAAAGUGGAGCUUAACUCCAUCAUGGCAGUGGAAACUGUUGGGCUUGAGUGUGGUAGGGGCAGAGGGAAUUCCCGGUGUAGCGGUGAAAUGCGUAGAUAUCGGGAAGAACACCAGUGGCGAAGGCGCUCUGCUGGGCCAUCACUGACGCUCAUGGACGAAAGCCAGGGGAGCGAAAGGGAUUAGAUACCCCUGUAGUCCUGGCCGUAAACGAUGAACACUAGGUGUCGGGGGAAUCGACCCCCUCGGUGUCGUAGCCAACGCGUUAAGUGUUCCGCCUGGGGAGUACGCACGCAAGUGUGAAACUCAAAGGAAUUGACGGGGGCCCGCACAAGCGGUGGAGUAUGUGGUUUAAUUCGAUGCAACGCGAAGAACCUUACCAGGGUUUGACAUCCUGCGAAUCUCUUGGAAACGAGAGAGUGCCUUCGGGAACGCAGUGACAGGUGGUGCAUGGCUGUCGUCAGCUCGUGUCGUGAGAUGUUGGGUUAAGUCCCGCAACGAGCGCAACCCACGUCUUUAGUUGCCAGCAUUUAGUUGGGCACUCUAGAGAGACCGCCGGUGAUAAACCGGAGGAAGGUGUGGAUGACGUCAAGUCAUCAUGCCCCUUACAUCCUGGGCUACACACGUACUACAAUGCUACGGACAAAGGGCAGCAAGUUCGCGAGGACAAGCAAAUCCCAUAAACCGUGGCUCAGUUCAGAUCGUAGGCUGCAACUCGCCUACGUGAAGGAGGAAUCGCUAGUAAUCGCAGGUCAGCAUACUGCGGUGAAUACGUUCCCGGGCCUUGUACACACCGCCCGUCACACCAUGGAAGUUGGCCACGCCCGAAGCCGUUACUCCAACCCUCGGGAGGAGGACGUCGAAGGUGGGGCUGAUGACUGGGGUGAAGUCGUAAC